AGAUUCAAACUGGUGUUUGGGUUGUGCCUUUUGCCGUCCCUGUGAAAAUCACCCCAAAUCUCGCCAAGUUAUAAGCCUUUGAAAAAUUGCAGUUCACACAUAAUCAGAAGAGAC